UGACGAACGGGUGAGUAACGCGUGAGGAACCUGCCUCAAAGAGGGGGACAACAGUUGGAAACGACUGCUAAUACCGCAUAAGCCCACGGGUCGGCAUCGACCUGGGGGAAAAGGAGCAAUCCGCUUUGAGAUGGCCUCGCGUCCGAUUAGCUAGUUGGUGAGGUAACGGCCCACCAAGGCGACGAUCGGUAGCCGGACUGAGAGGUUGAACGGCCACAUUGGGACUGAGACACGGCCCAG
rnacentral:rRNA from 1 species